rnacentral:rRNA from 1 species
UACAGAGGUCUCAAGCGUUGUUCGGAUUCAUUGGGCGUAAAGGGUGCGUAGGCGGCGCGGUAAGUCGGGUGUGAAAUCUCGGAGCUUAACUCCGAAACUGCAUUCGAUACUGUCGUGCUUGAGGACUGGAGAGGAGACUGGAAUUUACGGUGUAGCGGUGAAAUGCGUAGAUAUCGUAAGGAAGACCAGUGGCGAAGGCGGGUCUCGUGGACAGUUCCUGACGCUGAGGCACGAAGGUCAGGGGAGCAAACGGG